rnacentral:rRNA from 1 species
GGGGGGGGGGGGGGGGGGGGGGGGGGGGGGGGGGGGGGGGGCGGGAGCCGCGGGGGGGGGGGGGGAGUGGGGGACGGGGGAGGAACACGGGGGCAACCUGCGCGCGGCGCGGGGAGAAGUGCAAGAAAUGGGGGGUAAUGACGGACGGGACCGGUGGGCGCAUGGGCUGGUGGUGGAAAUGGUUGCCGGCUGGGGAUGGGCCCGCGGCCUAUCAGCUUGUUGGUGGGGUAGUGGCCUACCAAGGCGACGACGGGUAGCCGGCCUGAGAGGGUGACCGGCCACACUGGGACUGAGACACGGCCCAGACUCCUACGGGAGGCAGCAGUGGGGAAUAUUGCGCAAUGGGCGGAAGCCUGACGCAGCGACGCCGCGUGGGGGAUGACGGCCUUCGGGUUGUAAACCUCUUUCAGCAGGGACGAAGCGCAAGUGACGGUACCUGCAGAAGAAGCACCGGCCAACUACGUG